UUUUUGUAGAUUUUCAAAUAAAACUCAGAGAUUCCUUGUAUGACUCUCUCAGAUCUCUCUUUUGUGGUAUUUCUGGAUCCUUACCAAGGCAGUAAUGGUGUAUGCCUUCUCUCAAAGUAUGUGGUAUUUUUGGUAUGAGGCAUAAUGGCAUUGCCUUCUCUCUCACCCUACUCUAAUAAGGUUUUGAUAUCUGGAGCUCAUAGGUGGGAGACAGCUAAUACAUACUUACAAGACAUUUAUUGC
rnacentral:lncRNA from 1 species